rnacentral:rRNA from 1 species
GAUGAACGCUGGCGGCGUGCCUAAUACAUGCAAGUCGAGCGAACGGACGAGACGCUUGCUUCUCUGAUGUUAGCGGCGGACGGGUGAGUAACACGUGGAUAACCUACCUAUCAGACUGGUAUCACUUCGGGAAACCGGAUCUAAUACCGGAUGAUAUUUUGAACCGCAUGGUUCAAAAGUGAAAGACGGUCUUGCUGUCACUACUAGAUGGAUCCGCGCUGCAUUAGCUAGUUGGUAAGGUAACGGCUUACCAAGGCAACGAUGCAUAGCCGACCUGAGAGGGUGAUAGGCCACACUGGAACUGAGACACGGUCCAGACUCCUACGGGAGGCAGCAGUAGGGAAUCUUCCGCAAUGGGCGAAAGCCUGACGGAGCAACGCCGCGUGAGUGAUGAAGGUCUUCGGAUCGUAAAACUCUGUUAUUAGGGAAGAACAUAUGUGUAAGGAACUGUGCACAGCUUGACGGUACCGAAUCAGAAAGCCACGGCUAACUACGUG